CAAUUGAGGCCAGAGGCAAUGGAAUGACAUAUUCCAAGUGGUAAAAUUGUGAACUAAAAAUUAUAUAUCCAGCACAACUAUGCUUUAAAAAUGAGGGAGAAAUAAAAACAUUUCCAGAUAAAGAAAGACUGAGAGAAUUAGUUGUUAGCAGAUCUGCCUUACAAGACAUACUAAAAGAAGUUCUUCAGGCUGAAAUGCAGUGACAAAAGGAGGUAACUCAAAUCCACAGAAUAAGAUAAUGAGCACUGGAAAAGGUAAAUAUGUAGAUAAAUAUAAAACAAUCUAUAAAUGUAUUUUCCUAAUUUUUUUCCUUAACUUCUUUAAAAGACAUAAGAUCAUGUAAAGCAAUAAUUAUAAUGCUGAAUUGUUAGAUUAAUAGUUUUUUUAUAUGUGAAAAUAAUAGCUCAAAAGAGGGAUGAGGAAAUGGAAGUAUAUCAAAAAUUCUUUUACUGGAAUUAAAUUAGUAUUAUUUUUAAGUACAUCAUAAUAAAUUAUGAUGUAUAUUGUAAUCCCUAGCACAACCACUAAGAAAAAAACUCAAAAAAUACAGUAAAAUUUAUAUACAAAUAGCCUCCAACUUAAGGGUUCUAUUUCAACAACUCUGUUGUAAGUCAGCUCUGACGUAAGUCAAAUACCUCAUUUUAUUUUAUUUUUUUAGUUUUCAUUAUUAUUGCCUUUUAGUAUCAGUAUCUUUAUAAACCUGAUCUUUGUUUGUCUUUGGAAACAUUAAAUAUAAACUUACAUAUAUAUUUUAAUGCAUACAUAUAUACAUAAAAUAGUACACAAAUUAUAAAAUUUACUCUGGAAAUGAAGAAGAGUUGGACAACGUUGGCAUUUUGUCAGUUUCAGUAAUAACUUCCCUUAUGGAAGGUUCCGGAUCAUUUGGAUUAUCCCUGGAAAUGAAGAUGGUGUUUCUAGUCAGGAUAUUAGUGAGAGGUGGCGCUCAGAUUCUUUCCCUACCUGAGUAGCCCACUUGACGCUUCGUAGUCAAGUGUGCUUUUACUAUUAACCUUCUGCUUGCUAAUAAACCCCUGCUUGCUUGGUACUAGUUUUCUCAGUGUUUGAAUUCUUUCCUACACCAAAGGUAAGAACCGAGGCCAUUCUCCGGUAACAUAUUCUGGUGCCCUGACUCGGAUCACAAGCAUCCUCCUCCUUCGUCCAGAAAGUGCCAGGAAUGGACACACCUUUGGAGUCAGUCGCUGUGUUUCAUAAGCAAGUGUGAGCUUUUUCUGCAUGGGAUGCGUGACUGGAUGAGGCCAUGGUUUCUGUGUAGGCGCCAGUGUGGGAGAGAUCAGUAUCUCUCCUUAUGGACAACAUUUGCUCUGGGAACAACUGAGUAUAAAGGUAGGACACUCACCACGCUCCUCCUAAAUCCUAGCAGCAUAGGUGAUAAAAACUCCUGUCAAAAAGAGGUGUCUUGACUCCCUCUGGUCUGGAAUUCAAUGAACCUCUGAAUGUUCAAAGUUUUAGGUUAGAUAAGCAUCAAGAAGUUGAACGCUUAUCUGGAAACUUUGAACUUUCAGUGCCUAUUUGGGUGGGAAAUAUGAGACAAAGUUUUCUUGCCUGAUUUCCAGAACUUCCUAAUUUUGAAGGGGCCAGAAAUUCUUUGAAAAAAGAAAAGCCACUGUGGUGUCCAGAGAACUAGAGUAGAGAGAGCCGGGCUGAAGUGUUCAGGAGCUGCCUCUCCUUUCCACCCCCUAACAUAACCUACCUUACGGAGCUCUCCAAAC